rfam:Ovis aries breed Texel chromosome 15, whole genome shotgun sequence.
UCCCUAGCGGCUCAGACGGUAGAGAAUCUGCCUGCAACGCAGGAGACCCAGGUUCAAUUCCUGGGUUGGGAA